UUCGGCAAUGGACGAAAGUCUGACCGAGCAACGCCGCGUGAGUGAAGAAGGUUUUCGGAUCGUAAGACUCUGUUGGUAGAGAAGAACGUUAGUGAGAGUGGAAAGCUCAUCAAGUGACGGUAACUACCCAGAAAGGGACGGCUAACUACGUGCCAGCAGCCGCGGUAAUACGUAGGUCCCGAGCGUUGUCCGGAUUUAUUGGGCGUAAAGCGAGCGCAGGUGGUUUAUUAAGUCUGGUGUAAAAGGCAGUGGCUCAACCAUUGUAUGCAUUGGAAACUGGUAGACUUGAGUGCAGGAGAGGAGAGUGGAAUUCCAUGUGUAGCGGUGAAGUGCGUAGAUAUAUGGAGGAACACCGGUGGCGAAAGCGGCUCUCUGGCCUGUAACUGACACUGAGGCUCGAAAGCGUGGGGAGCAAACAGGAUUAGAUACCCUGGUGGUCCACGCCGUAAACGAUGAGUGCUAGAUGUAGGGAGCUAUAAGUUCUCUGUAUCGCAGCUAACGCAAUAAGCACUCCGCCUGGGGAGUACGACCGCAAGGUUGAAACUCAAAGGAAUUGACGGGGGCCCGCACAAGAA
rnacentral:rRNA from 1 species